GGCUGGUCUGCUGGUAGUGAGUUAUCACAACUUACUGACAUUAGUGUCACUAAAAUUGGUACACAACUCCACCCCCCCACACACACUGCUAAAUUUGACUGGUUAAAA
rnacentral:sRNA from 1 species